rnacentral:rRNA from 1 species
UACGGGGGGGGCAAGCGUUGUUCGGAAUUACUGGGCGUAAAGGGCUCGUAGGCGGCCAACUAAGUCGGAUGUGAAAUCCCCAGGCUCAACUUGGGAACUGCAUCCGAUACUGGAUGGCUUGAAUUCGGGAGAGGGAUGCAGAAUUCCAGGUGUAGCGGUGAAAUGCGUAGAUAUCUGGAGGAACACCGGUGGCGAAGGCGGCAUCCUGGACCGGCAUUGACGCUGAACAGCGAAAGCCAGGGGAGCAAACGGG